GUGAUGAUCAACAUCCACAAGCUCCUUCACCUCGUUAACUGUGGGAGCAGGCGUCAAUAGAUGGCCUCUUCAUUAACUGAGCUGGAGAUGCUGACCAUCGUGUUUUCUCUCCUGGUUUUUGCCCUCUUCACACUUGGAGGGAUGCUCAGUGAGGAAUGCGGACAGUCAAAUGAGACUAACACAAAACCACAAAAUGAUGUGCUGACUGUCUGACUUUGAUGAGGGUCAUGAUUGUGAUACAGAAGAUUCAAAAGGGAAACACAGCCCUCUGAGCAUGUGACAGUCAAAGCCCCCCUCCCCUGUGCGAACCUGUCUGUUACCAGAAUAAAGUUGAACUGGUAACCUCUGAACACAUUUACAAUUGCAUGUGUACUUUGUUAAAGGAUCUUGCGUUAAUAGCCUCCAGGAUGAGCCACAGAGGAGUGGCCUACACUGCACAUUGUGAAAGCAAAAAAGAAGGACUGAACAAAGAAACGCCUGCUUUAACAAACAGUGACAAGACAGUAUCUCGAGCCUGCUUUCUCUGUGAGAGUGUGAAGACAGAAGUGUUUUAUCUAACUUCAGAUCUGAAAACAGCUGUUCUAAUUCUUCU